UGAGGAAUAUUGGGCAAUGGGCGAAAGCCUGACCCAGCAACGCCGCGCGAAGGAAGAAGGUUUUCGGAUUGUAAACUUCUGUCCUCAGGGAAGAAAAAAAUGACGGUACCUGGGGAGGAAGCCCCGGCUAACUACGUGCCAGCAGCCGCGGUAAUACGUAGGGGGCGAGCGUUGUUCGGAAUGACUGGGCGUAAAGGGCGCGUAGACGGUUUUUUAAGUCUGGAGUGAAAGUCCUGCUUUCAAGGUGGGAAUUGCUUUGGAGACUGGAAGACUUGAGUGCAGAAGAGGUAAGUGGAAUUCCCAGUGUAGCGGUGAAAUGCGUAGAGAUUGGGAAGAACACCAGUGGCGAAGGCGACUUACUGGGCCGUAACUGACAUUGAGGCGCGAAAGCGUGGGGAGCGAACA
rnacentral:rRNA from 1 species